UCAAAAUUGUGUCUCUUAGAAAAUAAAACGGUGGAAAAACUGUAAUAAACGGUCCCAGGUGAAAAGGGAUACUUGAGUGAAAGCGUGUUGUGAAAAGAAAGCAAAAAUUUUUAGUUUUUGGAAAUGGGUAGAUCGUGUGUGCGGCGCGAGAGUCCACUGUUUCAAGAGGAUUUUUAAUGAACACUUUUUAAACAAAUUUGAUGUAAGAUGUACGAAGUACUGUUUCUUAAUGCGAUCGCCCCCUAUUUUACCAUCACUUCGUAAUUACAUAUUUAAAUAGUGUGAAAGAGAACAUUUUUUUCAAUCAAAAGAAAAGUGGCGAGUUCAAUAUGAUUUGAGCCUGAUUUCUGGUGUUAAUAUUUUUGUGAUAAUUAGUGUUAAUAAUGGGCUAAGUGAACACUAAAAUUGUUAGAAUUUUAAUAAAAUAUUUACGAGGUG